rnacentral:rRNA from 1 species
GGGGUAGGAGCAGCUUGCUGCUUUGAGACCGGCGCACGGGUGCGUAACGCGUAUGCAAUCUACCUUGUACAGGGGGAUAGCCCAGAGAAAUUUGGAUUAAUACCCCAUGGUGUUUAAGAGUGGCAUCACUUUUUUACUAAAGUUCCAACGGUACAAGAUGAGCAUGCGUCCCAUUAGCUAGUUGGUAUGGUAACGGCAUACCAAGGCUAUGAUGGGUAGGGGUCCUGAGAGGGAGAUCCCCCACACUGGUACUGAGACACGGACCAGACUCCUACGGGAGGCAGCAGUGAGGAAUAUUGGUCAAUGGUCGCAAGACUGAACCAGCCAUGCCGCGUGCAGGAAGACGGUCCUAUGGAUUGUAAACUGCUUUUAUACAGGAAGAAACCCUCUCACGUGUGGGAGCUUGACGGUACUGUAUGAAUAAGCAUCGGCUAACUCCGUGCCAGCAGCCGCGGUAAUACGGAGGAUGCGAGCGUUAUCCGGAAUCAUUGGGUUUAAAGGGUCCGUAGGCGGUUUAAUAAGUCAGUGGUGAAAUCUGGUCGCUCAACGAUCAAACUGCCAUUGAUACUGUUAGACUUGAAUAAUUGUGAAGUAACUAGAAUAUGUAGUGUAGCGGUGAAAUGCUUAGAUAUUACAUGGAAUACCAAUUGCGAAGGCAGGUUACUAACAAUUUAUUGACGCUGAUGGACGAAAGCGUGGGGAGCGAACAGGAUUAGAUACCCUGGUAGUCCACGCCGUAAACGAUGGAUACUAGCUGUUCGGCGCAAGUUGAGUGGCUAAGCGAAAGUGAUAAGUAUCCCACCUGGGGAGUACGCA